UUAAAUUGAAGAGUUUGAUCAUGGCUCAGAUUGAACGCUGGCGGCAGGCCUAACACAUGCAAGUCGAGCGGCAGUGGGAAAGUAGCUUGCUACUUUUGCCGGCGAGCGGCGGACGGGUGAGUAAUGCCUGGGGAUCUGCCCAGUCGAGGGGGAUAACAGUUGGAAACGACUGCUAAUACCGCAUACGCCCU
rnacentral:rRNA from 1 species